CUGGGAAAACCAGCCCUGGCUGGUCAGUGGUUUUCUGCAGGGCCCGUUUUCCACACACUGCUGGGAAUACCCGCAACGGUCCUGGAUCCAUGUGCCAGGAGGUGGGCCGGAGGCAGCCAUGCCCUGACCCGCUCCUUGGCAAAAAGGAAGGAGGGGUCUAGCCUUCCAACCACAGGCCAUAAUUCAUUUCUCAGGGCAACACUGCCGUCUCGCAGGGCUGCACUCUGCUGUCCCCCCUUCUUGCUGAAGGGGGCACCAUCACAACAUCGAUACCCCAAAUCUCUCUGCAUCAUCUCAGGCCCCAUGCUUCCAGCAGUGACACAACCAACCCAUCGUUGGGGUCCCUCCCAUGCAACAACCCCGAGCAACGGAGAAGAAAGUAAACUGUUCAUCAGAGGCUCCGGGGCAAUGGCCGGAGAGAUUCCGGCGUAUCCACGGCGAAAUGUCCCCUCCCCGUCCUCCCCCAGCCCCCACACCCCAGGGCAGCCUUAGGCCUCCCCUUCCUCCUCUCCGUGCACCCUGUAGACCUCUCGUCCCACCUUAGGCGAUCUUGCCUGUCUGUCUUUGCUUCUGUCACCCCUUGUCAUGUGCAGGCACGUGCUUUCUAGGGAUGCAAAGACCUAAACACCUCAAUUCUGGAAACUCACUGAAGGUCAAACAUUUACUCAGCCAUUAAAAUUCCCUGUGUUAGAGUCAUUUACAUUCAUACUUGCAAGGAACACGUAACGAGGCCGGUAGACAGCAUUUUAUGGCUUUUCUCCAUCAACUCAAGUAGGCAAAAAGGAAGCACGGCUGCCAGAUAGAGCUAUUCCCUCUGGUCCUUCUCGCUCCACCAAAGAAAACAAAGAACAGAAACACCUGUGCCACUUCACGGAGUUUUGGGAGCCCCAGCAUCAGUGGGGAGGGGGGCACCCCUGCACGGAACGUGUCCAUGGCCCAGGUCGUCAACGUCCUGCAUUUCUGUGAGUUUUGACUGGAGCUGAGGUCAGUGUGGGACAAGGGAAAUGUGCUUCAAGGCUGACUGCCUGGAAGGUCUUUUCCAUUUUGGAGUGUCGACCGCGGGUCAGCCAGUCUCAGGGAAUAAGCUGUAAGUGGAGGAACCCCCCACAUUGGUCAAGAAAAAAGCAAGGACAAAGACCAAGGUCACCAGUGUAUCCGGGGCUUGGAAGGACUUUGAAACAUAGUGACAGAAAAAUCCUUUGACUCAUAACAAAAUGGAAGCUGGAAGUCGGUUGCAUAAGGAAAACUUGGAAAAGCAGGACGAAAAGGAGUAACAAGUCUAAGACGUUCAUAACCCUAUCAGCCAAAGAUGACCAUCCACAGCUUAACAUGGCCCUACACUAACUUUGUCUUUCCAGCAACGGUACUGUAUAUUCUCAAACCCACAGGAGAGAAACAUUCUUCCGCGUCACUGCAUGUGCUUCUGCGUGAUCUUAAACGACUUUCGUAUCAAUGAACCAUAAUUUAUU